rnacentral:rRNA from 1 species
AAGAAAUAUUGGACAAUGGAGGCAACUCUGAUCCAGCCAUGCCGCGUGAAGGAAUAAGGCCCUAUGGGUUGUAAACUUCUUUUAGACGGGACAAAACCCCUUUACGUGUAAAGGGUUGAUGGUACUGUCAGAAUAAGCAUCGGCUAACUUCGUGCCAGCAGCCGCGGUAAUACGAAGGAUGCAAGCGUUAUCCGGAAUUAUUGGGUUUAAAGGGUGCGUAGGCGGACUAAUAAGUCAGUGGUGAAAGCCUGCAGCUUAACUGCAGAAUUGCCAUUGAUACUGUUAGUCUUGAGUACAGUUGAGGUAGGCGGAAUGUGUCAUGUAGCGGUGAAACGCUUAGAUAUGACACAGAACACCGAUUGCGAAGGCAGCUUGCUAGGCUGUAACUGACGCUGAGGCACGAAAGCGUGGGGAGCAAACA